rnacentral:rRNA from 1 species
GGAGUUAGCCGGUGCUUCUUCUGUGAGUGAUGUCCUUCCUGCCGGCUAUUAACCCGCAGGCCUUCUUCCUCACUGAAAGUGCUUUACAACCCGAAGGCCUUCUUCACACACGCGGCAUGGCUGGAUCAGGGUUGCCCCCAUUGUCCAAUAUUCCCCACUGCUGCCUCCCGUAGGAGUCUGGGCCGUGUCUCAGUCCCAGUGUGGCUGAUCAUCCUCUCAGACCAGCUACGGAUCGUCGCCUUGGUGAGCCGUUACCUCACCAACCAGCUAAUCCGACAUAGGCUCAUCCGAUAGCGCGAGGCCCGAAGGUCCCCCGCUUUCCCCCGUAGGGCGUAUGCGGUAUUAGCCUGGGUUUCCCCAGGGUUAUCCCCCACUACCGGGGCAGAUUCCUAUGCAUUACUCACCCGUCCGCCGCUCGCCACCAGGGAGCAAGCUCCCCGUGCUGCCGCUCGACUUGCAUGUGUUAGGCCUGCCGCCAGCGUUCAAUCUGAGCCAGAAUCAAACUCUGA